UUCAGACAGAAGGGGGAGUCAGAUCGCUAUGAUCGCCAGGAACUUUACUUUUUGAGUCCAUUUUUAAUUGUUGCGCUACUGGUGCUGCCUGUUGAUGUUAGAUAGGCAGCUACAGUAGCUGAAUGAUGUUAACAUCUUCGGGUUUUGUUUCAUUAAAUGUAUUUUAUUUCAUCUGGGUGCUUGCAUCACCUACUAACACCCUGGUACUACCCGUAGCUCACGUUCUCAGUCCGAGAAAACACAGAGAGAGAAAGAACAACUUUUCAGAUGGUGCAUUGGAGACUGAUGUGUUCCUGUCCUGUCUUUUCACAAUACUAUUGCAGCUGUGCUAAUGAAGACGGGAUGCAGAUGAGGGCGGAGGUCAUCUCCGUAGCGUUCGACCCCAGCACCCGCAGCAUGCCACUCUGACUGCCACAGGUUGAAGUCACACCCAAGUUAAUUCUUCAAUUAGCAUGAGCCAGAUAUUCGAGGAAGAUCGGAGGGCCCGCCAAUCGAUGUCCAAUUAGCGAGGCCUCGUGGACCAGAGACGAGACUGUUUUAUGGGCUUUGAUGAGGAUGAUGGUGCUGCCACUAACAUACAUGAUGAAACAAGGUGUGUGUGUGUGUGUGUGUGUGUGUGUGUGUGUGUGUGUGUGUGUGUGUGUGUGUGUGUGUGUGUGUGUGUGUGUGUACGUGCAUGCGUGUUUGUGUUUGUAGUCUGGGACAGACACUCUUUCACCUCUACACCCUCCUUGUUUCCACCUCUCUCCCUCCAUCCUAAAGGUUUCCCUAUCUCCUUGCUCCACUUCCACAGCCCAAUCUGCCCUCACCCCCACCCCUCGGCUCAUUCGCAGGCAUCAGGUUUGUCUGCGGCUCAGUGGCCAUGGCGACAGUGUUGUCGGUGGGAGAUCGUGGGGUCAGGGGCCAAUCGCAGGUCACGUAGUUGACUAUCUGUCUGUGUCACAGGGUGGUCACCUUUGACCCGUGCCUUGCAGCCCCGUCUGAAAGAUGAGACAGAGAGCAGUUGUUUCGUGAGACAUCCAAGAGGAUAAAUGUCUGUUUGUUUAAACACCCAAGCCAGUCAUUCUAUCAUUUGAAGCAUUCACAUCACAGCGCAAUGCCCCUGCCCAGUAAAAACGAGUAUUAUUUCUCCCUUGAACUAAUGCACAGAGCCCUGCUGUUCUAACUGUCAUCUGUUAAAUUUCAGGACGUAACCUUGAGUCUAGCGUCUCCCCCCAUCUCCCCCUGGCUUUCAGCAAGCCCAUGGCAUCUUCAGAGGUUGGAGACUCUUGAAGUGUGAUCCAUUUAGAUAGUGGUUACUUUCUUCCUGUGCACACAACCACUCGCACACACACACACACACACACACACACACACACACACACACACACACACACACACACACACACACACACACACACACACACACACACGUGUGCCCGGACAAACACACACACACACAAUCACGUACACGCAGUCAUGCAGUUUUUUUGGUUGAAAGUCAUCCCAGAUAAGCUUGACAGACAGGUAGUAAAUGUUUGGAAAGUGUAUGUCGUGAGUCUGCUAAAUGACUCAAAUGUAAAUGUAAAUGUUAUGGUUAUAUGCUUCUUUAGGUACAUUUAUACUAUUUACAGUUUUAAAAUAGACAAGCAAUAACACCAUUAUAGUGUUUUAUUUUCAGGGUUUCAACUUCGAUCAGUUUCAAUGCCUGCUCAUUGCCUUCGACUUCAUUCAAAUACAUUCUGUUGUCCAAAUCAUCCCCAUAUGGUCCAUAUCAUCCCCCGUACGCUGUAUGUGAAGGUUUACAUUGAACAUUCCAGCCUUGUAUAUCAUCUCACUUACAUUCGCCUCACUCCAGCCCCACAUCUCCCCAUGCUCCAUCCCUCUAUUUUCUUAUGUUUUCCUCCUCUCCUCUCUCUCUCUCUAUUUCUCUCUCUCUCUCUCUCUCUCUCUCUAUUUCUCUAUUCCUCUCUCUCUAUUUCUCUUUUUCUCUUUUUCUCUAUUCCUCUCUCUUUUCUCUCUCUCUCUCUCUCUCUCUCUCUCUCUCUCUCUCUCUCUCUAUUUCUCUAUUCCUCUCUCUCUAUUUCUCUUUUUCUCUAUUCCUCUCUUUCGCUCUCUUUUUCUCUCUCUCUCUCUCUCUCUCUCUCUCUUUUUCUCUCUCUUUCUAUCUCUCUGUCUUUCUAUCGGUCUCUCUUUUCUCUGGCUCCUCUGGCUGGUCCCCCUGUGGCACACCGUGUCGUGUCCCUAAUUUAUUUAUAAUUAGUGCUCUUUGUCGGGAUGCGCGGGGAAUGUUAAAGUACAAGCCACUCCGCUCUGGGUACAAAUGGGCUAGUGUUCCUGCCUCUCCUCAACCCACCAACAUAGCGACCCACCGGCCAGUAGGGAGAGCUCUGCUGCUAGCCGCAACCACAGCCCCAGACAAAGGCCAGCACCUUCGGACGCAGCGGCACACACACGCGUACACGCACGGACGGACGCGGGCAUAUGCACACACGCUCACACAGAUCUACCGGUAAAUGGUUGAGACUGAACGGAAAGCGACGUACAGACUGCUUUUCUGCGUUAGUAAUAGGUGUUUGUUAUUGCGUUGCAAUUUUGAACAUUAUUUAGGGCGUAUUUGAAAAGGGUCCUGAGUGAAAUGUGAACGUGUUAGUGCAGAGUGUUCGUUUCUAGGUUUGCUUUGGUUGUUGGUGUAGAAAGACUGGGUAUGAAUUAUCACUGUUAGCAUUUCUUAUCACGUCUAUUAACGUCAACUCUGUCAUACUUCAUUAACCUCACCAAGAAUGGCAGUAGUGACAGGACACACACACACACACACACACACACAUACACACUUGUGAUCAGCCAGCAGGAAGAGCUUUUGUCCUUGGGCUGGGAGGGCACCUGGCUCCUCUCCCGUCCUUGUGAUCCCUCCGUUCCUUCCCUCUCGUGCGUUCUAUCCCUCCUCUAUCCCUCUCUUCCUCUUCCCCCUCUCUUCUCCUCGGAUCCCUUCAUCCCCCCCAUCUCUCUGUCCUCCGCCCAAGGCAAUGCCGUCCUGCAGGCUUUGAUCAGAGGGCCAGGGAGGAGAGAGGAACUGGGUCAAAAAGUUGUGCUGGAGACUGCAGGAGAACAAGGGUGGAAUAUCGAGUAGGUGAGACCGAGAGAAAGGGAGAGAUGGAGAGAUAGAAGGGAGGGAGGUAGAGUGAGAUGGGGAGCGUAAGAUGGGGUAAUCUAGAGAGAGUAGGGAGGGAGAGGGUCGGGAUGAGGGGGAGAUCGGGAGAUACAUAGAGAGGGAGGGAGGGAGUGAGGGAGAGGGGGAGAGAAGGGAAGAGGAUGCCUGAACCGAGGGAGAGUAGAGAAGAUAAAAAGAAAACCAAAGGAAGCAACAGGAGGGGAUAGAGGAGAAGGACGUGGGAACGGAGAGGUGUCUUAAUUGAGUGAAAAGUAAAAAGACAACACGUUUUUCUUGGACGUGACGCUCAGCAUGUAUGCAGUGGGUCAGAGGAUCGGGCUUUCACUACACCACACUGUUAUAGGACAGUGUGUGCCUGCGCGUGUGAGUCUGGCCCUGUUUGACUUGGCUCUGUGUUUUUAGCUCAUUAGGAUGCAUGGUUUGUUAAUAUUCAGAUCGAUGGAUUAAUAUGCGUCUGGUGUUUCUGCCCUCCUUGUGUCGUCAGCUCACCUGGGGCUGAGGAGGGCUGAGGGGGAGAGGUGGAGGAAGGGGAUAUGGUGGAGGGCAGAUUGGGGAGAGGAGGGGUAGAAAGGGUUAGAAGGGGAGGGUAGGUUGGGGUGCGAUCUGGCCAAGGAGGUUUAUGGGGCUGGGGCUGUGCGGUCUGUCACUGGGGAUGGUGGAGUGGGAGGGGGGAGGAAUUUAAAGGGGAGGAGGGAACCAGAAGUGUUUGGUUCUGGAGUAAUUGGACCAAGGGGAGGUUAACCAUACGCUAAUGCACACACAUGCACAAUCAUACACAGGCAUGCACACAUACACUAGUGCAUACGGUAUACACAUGCAGACACACACACACACACACACACACACACACACACACACACACAUGCAAACACACACACACCCAAAUAUCCAGGCGCUUACGAGCCACUCAGGCUAUUACAAACGAGGACAGCAAAUGAAAGCGGUAAUUACUUUUAAGAAGUGAAGGAUUGUGUGGCGGAGAGCAAUGGGUCACUGUUGAAUGGAGAACAGGAGAUCAACGAGACAGUGGGCGAGACAGAUACACAUCUCAAUGAAAUGUAGAGCAGUUCGCUCAACAAAGGGGGAAAAAACGGUUUAAUGGGUACAUGUCCUCUAAGAAUAUCUUCUGAAAGAUUUGGAAUCAUUUCCAUGAAGCAGAUCCUGUCUUCCAUGUUCCCUCAUGCAUAUUGCAUACAGGCCAGGGAUAAUAUAGAAAGCGUAUUGUUAUUUUGCUAUAUGCCACCUGGUGCAAUGUAUUUUAUAGGGCUCUUACAGUCAUUAACACCGUCGUUGUAUUUUACGGUUUUGUUUUAUAGUCACAGCGGAUAACAACACAUCUGUUUUUUGUUUUUUUUUGGCACUGGGAACCUAAGUAAACAGAUUUGAGGAAUGUAACACUUCACAUUAAGGUUCUUCACUUCUUGUUAUUAAAAAAGAAUGACACAUUUGUAUUAUUAGUCAAAUAUAAUAUUUCUCAAGACUUUGUUGGAUAUUUUUUUUAUCUAUUUCCCCAGAAUACGUUUUGAGCGUGCUGGGCGGAGCCAGGUGAGGUCAGAGGGUAUAGGGGCGGGUCUCUCUUAGCAUCCAAUAGGGUCACACGCAUCAAUAUCAGUGAUCAUAUGGGCAGAGACGAAAGAGGAAGCGAGACGUCCCACUCCCCAAAAAAUGCUAAAGUUCAUACACAGUCAAUUAACUAAUAAGCAGACCAGACCCAGCUGCUAAUGCAUUGGUGCCUAUGGGAGAGCCAUAAGUACGUUAAGUGUACUGGAACUGAAAAGUUUUUCCAAUGUAAACAGAGUGGGACAUCUUCAUUUAUUCACCAUCUUUGAUAUGGGUCAUUGAAGUCUGAAUGACACUAACUCCUGGGGGUGCCCUAAGGCAAUGUUGAUACUUGUGCUCAUGACUGUUCCCAAGGUGAUAUUUUUAAGACACAAGGGGGUUCCUUGUUUUGAUAUGGGAGUGCCUGGCAACUCUGUACAGACCUGUAUUCCGAACCCUGUGCAUGAUGAUUAUAUAUGGAGACAGACACAAGUCCCCAUGAGUCACUCCUUCAAGGGCGUUGCAGGAAGGCUUGGAGGGCAAAAUCACCCACUCUGUCUCUCCGUCUCACAGCGGAUCUCUUCUAAAACAGACAGAAGAGAGGAGUAGACGCACACAAACACAACCCCCAAAAGGCCCUUCUCUCGCUUUGGGCUUCUUCUUUUGAGUGGGGGAACUUUUUACUCCCGUGCUCAGUGUUGUUUUUGUUCUAGUGGCUGGGCUGUCGGCUGUUUAAACUGCUGAGGGGUGGGGGUCCACUGGGGGUGUUUGAGGACUUUACUGGCCCCUCUCUCUCACUCUUUCAUUCACGGUCGUGGCUGCCUUCACAUCAAUGAGCCAGGGAGACCAAAACACUGAAUGCGUCUUCAUUUGCCUGAACUUUUCACACGCCUCUCUUUUUGUUGCUACGAGUCAGCUCGUUUCCGUCGCCCGCUACCAAAGUAGCACUUUUCUUCUCCCUUCUGUCCCUUUCCGUCGCACAAUGUUAAGCUCAUUUUUAGCUUGACAUAAUCUAAAAUGGUACUUAUCUGAUUUUAUGUCCACCUCAAUGCAUUAACUUCAGCUAUUUCCCCUUUAUGUAGCUGCUUUUCUUUUUUUUGGUGAGUGCAGUGAGAGAGGGGGGAGAGCGAGAGAUGGAGGGAGAGAGGGAGAGAGAGCGGGGAAGAGAGAGAGAGAGGGGGAGAUUUGAGACCCAGACCACGGAGUAGACAGCCUAUCAGUAUUCAGUGGAGAAAGUGAGUGAUGGAGGGAGAGAGAUGGAGAGAAAAAAAGGAGGGGGAUGUAUCAAUAUUCUGAGUAGUGUUUGAGGGCAAGGGGAACGAACAGAGGGAAGGGGGGGAAGGGGGGACCGAGGGUGGAGGAAGGGAGGGAGGUUGGCGGGAGAGUACUUGAGUGAGUCUCUGAAUGUGAUUAUUUGCUCAUGUAUGCACAUGCUUGUGUGUGUGUGCGCAUAUGUGUGUGUUUGUGCGUGCAUGUGUGUGUGUGUGUAAAUGAUUGUUCACGUGCACCCUCUGUGUGAUUGUUUUGCAGAUGCUCACUUGGGUGCGUAAUGUGGACGUGUUUGUUGGAUAGACUUUGUAUAACACCAGGGAAACAGUUUACAAUGUGUUUGUAUGUGAUGGAAUCUCCCAUUUGCUUCAGUUACACAUGCCCUACCUUCCUUUCUUCCUUCCUUACUUCCUUCUCUCCCUCCCUCCCUCUUUCUCUCUCUCCCCCUCUCUCUCCCUCUCUUUUGCUUGUCUUUUACUCUCCCUGCUAAUCAGCAUUUGAAAGGCAGCUUUGACAGAGAAAGAAAGUGAGGGGCUGUGGGAGGAGGGGGUAAACGAAAGCAAGAGACAGUGAGUGAGAGCGAUAGAGAGAGAGAGAGAGAGAGAGAGAGAGGAAAAGCGAGGGAGACCGAGGCAAGAGCUGUACAACCAUGCCUUUUAUAUUUACUAGCGACUGAGGGGAAGAGAAAGCGAGAGAGGGUGAAGAGAGAGACAACCGGUGUGCGCAGCUUUCCCAAGAGGAAAUUAAAAGAAAGAAGCUCAGCAAAGAGAGUGAGUGAGUGAGUGAGAGAGAGAGAGAGAGAGAGAGAGAGAGAGAGAGAGAGAGAGAGAGAGACGGAGAGAGAGAGAGGGAGAGGAGGAGUGAGAGCAAGAGGGAGCAUGCCGGCAAGAGAGCGAGGGAGAGAGAAUCUCACGCUGGCUGUCUCCUAAUCCUAGUCCAUCUCUAAGAAGUGGCAGAGGGAGCAGAGUGUUAGUGAAGUGAUCCUGAGCCAGCAUAGCCUCUCUUCUCCACCAGCUAGCACCACUUGCGUACUCACACACACACACACACACACACACACACACUUGCAACAGAUUCCGCGGUGGGUCCGCCUGCCUGCGUGUCCAGGUCUUUUGUGAGUGUGAGGGGAUUGCCUCCAGUCGGUCCAGCCUCUCAGCCCAGCCAGCCCACCCCCAGUGCGUUUGGGAGCAGGGGACCCCAGCCGGGCCGUUUUGGGGGGCACAGGAGUCUGAAGGAUAGAGGACGAAGAGGAAAAAGUACGUCCACUCAGAGUAGGGGAGUCAACGCUGGAAAUGCCCAUCAGGUGAGGCCAUCCUGGAACAAGUUCUGGUCAGUGUACACACACACACACACACACACACACACACACACACACACACACACACACACACACUUCCACUGUUUGAUGAAGUUGAUUUGAUGUAGAAACUGGAUGACAUUCCAACAGUUAUGUGAGUGUUAUGUACUUAGAUGGUUAUGUCAGUUUGAGAGUGUAUUUAAGAUGUCACGUUUAUUGAAUAAUGACAAAGUUACUUGUUUCAGAGCGUUUUAGGGGAAGUCUCCCUUUUUGCAUGUCGUCUACUCUCCUCAUUUCUAAGCAAAGUUUGGGAGAUGUCAUACGUACUGACACAUGAUAGUCCUCUGCUCUUAGAAAAGUGUCUGAGCCGUAACAACACGCCAUUUACGGGUAAAUAUUCAUCUUUGAACUGGAUUAAUAGCGUCUGUGGAAAUAUCAGUGUGUAUCGUUAGUUCAGUUUACCUUGGACAGGAAAACAAUAUAGUUACAAGAAAUGUGAAAUAGUGUAUUUUAGAUUUAGAACUGGAUGGAUAUGUGAUAUUUUUGGUCAUGGAGAAUGAAAACACAUUGGAUAUAAAUAUAUGUGUAAAUAUCUGCUUAGUUUCUUUUGUCUGUUCGGGACUGGAUGUAUUGUCUGUGUAUUUACCCUCACUCUCUAAAGUAAACUGGAUAAAAGUUGUUUCCAUAACAGACAUAAGAAAAGUACUUGCUUCCUAAGUUGUUUAUUUCUGCCAGCGCGCUGAACGGUCAACAUCUAUUAUUAUAAUUAUUAUCAUUAAGCCAUUAUCGUUUUUUUCUAUACAAAUAUGUUUAUUUCCUGUCCUCUGUAGCUCGUUCAGAAUAGUAUUAGUGAGCUGCUGUAAAGGAACGAGAGAAAAGCCCAGUUGGCUGGACGGAUGAUUGUAGUGCUUUAGGGCACUAACAGCAGGUGGCCAUAAUUGGGUAAAUGACUGUUACAAAAUGCCUGUGUAAUCUGGUGCCUAGUGAUAAAAUAGUAAAUAUCACCAAUGUUUUUAUAUAAUGACACCAAUCAACAGAACGGGGAUCAUCAGGUAUGUUAUGCUUGACUAUGUUGUUCAUCGAAGGCUCUGUUAGCUGUGUGUUUGUAGAGACGCAGCACAACUAUAUAAAAGGGAGGACGGAAGAGUGACUUAGGAAAGACGUUAACAAGCAAGUGUGUGUGUGUGCACAAACAAACACAGGGACCAGUGUUUUUACCCAGGUGUGUCCUGGUCCGCCUUCAUGGAGUGUGUUGUUUGUUGACGGUAAUUGAAUGUUUCUGUGCUGUGUGAGUGUGUUGUGAGGUAUAACAGCACAUGAUCCUACCACCACCACCAUCUAUAGAGCUCCACCUGCUCAGUCACUGCAGCUGUGAUGAGAAAUCCCUCCACCCAAUAAUACACAACCACUUCAUAGACCACACUAAAAGUGUUGAUUUCAGAAGAUGUUUUCAGGCUGUGGUGGUUGUGUCUGUAUCACCAAAAAUAUUUGAAAACCGCUCCAGACAUGAUUGGUCUCACAGACGCUGGCUAUUUCUAAGGUCACUCGUUCCUAUAGGCUCUGAAAGGAGAAGAUGCGCAUUGUGUCCGUCAAUCAGUAAUAGCUAACGUUAGUCCUUGUUGACCGCGGACCGUGUUCAAACCAGAACUUGUCUUUUUUUGAUUUGUUUCUAUCUCUGUCUGUUUUGGGGAUUUGACAUUCUGGACCGUGUCCUUUUCUGUACUAGCGAGAAUACGCAGUCGAGCUCGCAAAAUGACUUUUACAUUUUUCCACGAUAUGGAGAGACGCUCGGGUGAAGGGAUCGUCCUGGGCAACCGGGCCGUGAUGUAUUUUGCUCUGUUGAAUGACAUGUCAGUGGACUAACCUUAUUGCAGUGAACGGGGGUCUGAGAGGCAACAGUCACGUAGAGGGUCGGAGAUGUCAGGAACCAUUCUAGAUCUGACAGGUUGACAUUGGGAUGGCGUCAGUAGUUGUGGAUGUGGAAAGACAUGUUUGAAGACCAUCAGAUAGUCAUUGAAAUGGCCUUUUCUGAAGACUUUCUUCAGGGCCAAGAAUAGAUAAACAUGUAGACAGACGGGUAGACGUUCUCGUUUGUCUGACUGUUGAUUCACCGUCAAAGAGGACAGACAGACACUCACACACAGAGAUGUCUGACUGUUGACACACACACACACACACACACACACACACACACACACACACACACAACGAGCGAGAGAAGUGUGCGAUUGGCUGCGUCAGUGACAGAGGGUGUCAGCUCAGUGUCAGUGAGAUGUGUUUAGUGUCACACUCUGCUGACCUGAUCUCCGGUCAGGCUGUCCACUCUGUCCCGCUGUGGCUCCUUACAUAACCCAUGCUGUCAUUCACACACUGUCCUGCAGGGAGCCAGCGGCCCGAAGAUUUACACACACACACACGGACGCAGACACACACACAUACAUACACACACCGGACGGACGCAUGCACACACAUACACACAUAGAUACACACAUUCACGCACACACACACACGGAUGCAAACAUGCAUACAUACAGGUAAUUGCCAAAAUCAUAGAAACACUGGUGUAAAUGGGGGAUACAAAACUCAUUGAAAGCAGGUGCUUCCACACAGGUGUGGUUCCUGAGUUAGUUAAACAAUUAACAUCCCAUCACGCUUAGGAUCAUGUAUAAAAAUGCUGGGCAGGUCAUUAUUUUGGCUACCAUGGCUAUGUCCCCAUAGGAUGACAAUGCCCCCCAUCCACAGGGCAUGAGCGGUCGGUUUAAUGAGCGUGAAAGCGUUGUAAACCAUAUAGCAUGGCCGUCUCAGUCACCUGAUCUCAACCUUAUUGAACACUUAUAGGAGAUUCUGGAACGGCGCUUGAGACUUGCGUUUUCUGCCACCAUCAAGAAAACACCAAAUUAUGGGAAUUUCUUGUGGAAGAAUGGUGUCGCAUCCCUCCAAUAGAGCUCCAGACACUUGUAGAAUCUAUGCCAAGGCGCAUUGAAGCUGUUCUGGUUCGUGGUGGUCCAACGCCCUAUUAAGACACUUUAUGCUGGCGUUUCCUUUAUUUUGGCAGUUACCUGUACACUGUACAGGGUUUCAAAAGAGUUAUUUGGCUGUCCCCAUAGGAGAGCCAUUUUGGUUACAGCUAGAACCCUUUUUGGUUAAAGGUAGAACCCUUUUGGGUUCCAUGGAGAACCCUCGGUGGAAAGGGUUCUAAAUGAAACCCAAAAUGGUUCUACCUAGAACCAAAAAGAUUCUACCUGGAACCAAAAAGGUUUCUUCAAAGGGUUCUCCUAUGGGGACAGCCUUCACCCUUUUAGAUUCUAGAUAGCACCUUUUUUUCUGACUGUACAUAGAUGUACGUAGAUAUAGAUGUACUAUUGUAAAGUGGUUGUUCCAUAAGGUGAAUGCACCAAUUUGUAAGUCGCUCUGGAUAAGAGCGUCUGCUAAAUGACGUAAAUGUAAAUGUACAUGUACACACGCGUGUCGUCAUACACACAAAUAUUUUCAAAUGUCGACAAAAUGAAAUGCGCUAGACAAGGUGGGAUCUGUAAAAUGAAUUAUCCGUGAAACGGCGGUGGAAACGCCUUUAUGUGCUAAUAUUGAUGUAAGUAUCAUCGAAGUAAACUUGGAGUCACGCAACGAUAUGUUGUGUGGUUCUCCCAGGCUUCCGCUAGGACUGGGGAAAGCUGCAGUUUAUUAAGCUACAGAUGAAAUAAGUUACGAUGAACUUCACAGGGUGGUGAAAGUGCACGGUGAUGAGCUUGACGCUCCCUUCCAAUAAAUAUCGAGGGUCUUAUUCUGGUGACAUGAUGAUCUGUGCUUGGCUGCCAUUUUGUCCAUAAUAACCUCAUUGUGUAGUAAACUAUACCUGCACACGUGCCAAGAACAGAGUGGACACAUCUGCACUAUAUAACCAUUUUGUUUGUGACAAAACCAUCAGUAGAGUUGAAAAUGUGAUGGAAACACAUUUCACUUGUUGUUUUGUUUUUUUCAGUACAUGGGAAUUUAACCGUACAAGUUAUUUUUAUGUGUACUUUGUCAUCACGCAUAGCCUUUUAUCCACAACAAGUCAAUUUGAUGGAAACACAUCUCUGGUGGGAAUAUGAGCAUAUUGUUUUUUGCAGAUUUUUGAAUUAUUUGCAUGAGAAUCUGUCACCAUUUGGCUGAAAAUCAAGCUAUAUUUACAAACAUUUGGUUCCGGUAUUUAUAUACUAAUAGAGUGAUUCCUCACGAAACCCAGACAAAAAAAGACCACG
rnacentral:lncRNA from 1 species